GGUGGCUCAGUGGUAGAGUGCUUGCCUUGCAUGCACGAGGCCCUGGGUUCGAUUCCUUAGCACCA
rfam:Dipodomys ordii contig_84214, whole genome shotgun sequence.